AUGUUAGAAAUCAACGCACACUUCUUAGUGUGGAAUGUGCGCGGUGUUAAUAACCCGGCGCGAUGGGCAGUGGUCCAUGACGUGACUAGGGAAGCCGCUGCAUCCGUAGUUGCUAUGGUGGAAUCCAAGCUUGAUAUUGUAACCUCACAACUCUUGAUGAGAAUUCUCGGUUUGGAGCACGGUGACUUUAUUGCAUUGCCGGGGGUGGGCACGGCCGGGGGCAUCAUCGUGGCCUGGCGUGCGAGGGAUGUUAAGGUCCUUGCAACCGGGGUGGAUACAUUCUCUGUGUCCAUAUUGCUAGAGUUGUCGAAUGGGGAUAGUUGGUGGCUCUCUGUGGUGUAUGGCCCCACGGAUGAGAGAUUGAGACAUGAUUUUCUUCAAGAGCUUAGGCUCCCGCGGGCAAGUUGUGUAUGGUCAUGGUGCAUCGCGGGAAGAUUUCAACAUCACCUUGAACGCGGAGAAUACAAACAAUGUACGUAUCAACCGACUUGCAAUGAUGGAUUCAGGCAGUUGGUUAAUAACCUUGAGCUCUCUGAGGUGCCUCUCAUUGGUCGGCGUUUCACGUGGAACAAUGAGCGUUAG
rnacentral:rRNA from 1 species